rnacentral:rRNA from 1 species
GACGAACGCUGGCGGCGUGCUUAACACAUGCAAGUCGAGCGGAAAGGCCACUUCGGUGGUACUCGAGCGGCGAACGGGUGAGUAACACGUGAGUAAUCUGCCCCUGGCUUUGGGAUAGCCACCGGAAACGGUGAUUAAUACCGGAUAUGACCACUUCUCGCAUGGGUUGUGGUGGAAAGUUUUUCGGCCAGGGAUGUGCUCGCGGCCUAUCAGCUUGAUGGUGAGGUAAUGGCUCACCAUGGCUUCGACGGGUAGCCGGCCUGAGAGGGUGACCGGUCACACUGGGACUGAGACACGGCCCAGACUCCUACGGGAGGCAGCAGUGGGGAAUAUUGGACAAUGGGCGGAAGCCUGAUCCAGCAACGCCGCGUGAGGGAUGACGGCCUUCGGGUUGUAAACCUCUUUCAGUACCGACGAAGCGCAAGUGACGGUAGGUACAGAAGAAGCACCGGCCAACUACGUGCCAGCAGCCGCUGUAACAC